rnacentral:lncRNA from 1 species
UGAAAUCAAAUACAUUGUUCUCAUAAAAUACUUUUGUUAACAUCAAAACUAUAAGUAUAAAAUCAACUUGGUUCCAACAUGCUUAUCACAAGACCUCCUAAGUUUUGAAUGACUUCACUUGUGUCAUGGUGACUUAUGUCCAAAUCAUCAAAUGACCACAAUGACACUCAACUUGCCAAGUAAAUUUACUGUCAAAGAAUCCCAAACUUAGUAAGUUACAUCUAGACAUCAUGUCAGGCAACUUAUCUGCCCUAGUUUGAGAACAAAAAUUCCAUCUUGUUGAAAAAAAUUUCAAGUGGGUUUCACAAAGAAUAACCACAUCAGGUUUGACACACUUCAAAAUUGUAAAUAUUCAAAACCAAACAUGAGGACAAAUAAACAAAGGAACCGCGAAAAGACUUCUAGACAUGAGGUGUCUUGCAAACAAAGUCAACCUUGUUUUCUUCCAUCUCCUUACCAUUCUAUUGAGCAAGAAGCAUUCAUAAUCAUAUAUACAUUUUUGUUAUAUUCUGCAUUAUCAAGUGGAUCGGGAUCCUUCAAAAACUGGAUAUGGAUAGGUCCCAAUACUCUUAUUGGUAUAGUGGAUUUGAUUCCACGAGGAAGGUCAUGAUGUGAGUUUUCUCAUGAUGUUGCAAAGUGACCACCUUGCUAGAACUUGUGUUCUUGUCGUGGACAAGCAUGAACUAGCUUGGGAACUUAAGGUUGGCCUGCGUUUUUUCCUGUGGCUGAGUUCGUUGAUCCACCGUCACCGUUCCACUCCCAGUAUCUAUCGUCCCAUAAUUUUUUGUCCCAGUGCAUCCACGAUUAUGAUAUAUGCUUUCUUUGGUCGACAAAUGUCUAGAGAUGGCGACAACAAAAAAAUGUACUCCCGGGAUAUUCUGUGGAUAAAAUAUGUGACAGGUAUGAGGUGGAUAUUUUAACAGAUAUCCACAUAUAAAAAUAAAUUGGUAUUUUAAUUAUCUAUUGGUUAAUGGAUAUAUCUGAGAAUGUAAUGUUAUGAUGUAUUUGUG